rnacentral:tRNA from 1 species
GGAGUGGUAGUUCAGCUGGUUAGAAUACCUGCCUGUCACGCAGGGGGUUGCGGGUUCGAGUCCCGUCCAUUCCGCCA